rnacentral:rRNA from 1 species
CAGUAGCCACGGUAAUACGAAGGGUGCAAGCGUUAAUCGGAAUUACUGGGCGUAAAGCGUGCGUAGGCGGUGAGUUAAGUCUGCUGUGAAAUCCCCGGGCUCAACCUGGGAAUGGCAGUGGAUACUGGCUCGCUAGAGUGUGUCAGAGGACGGUGGAAUUCCCGGUGUAGCGGUGAAAUGCGUAGAGAUCGGGAGGAACAUCAGUGGCGAAGGCGGCCAUCUGGGACAACACUGACGCUGAGGCACGAAAGCGUGGGGAGCAAACAGGAUUAGAUACCCCCGUAGUCCCUGUCUCUUAUAC